rnacentral:misc_RNA from 1 species
GAUGAAGAUCGCAGCGAAAUGCGAUACUUGGUGUGAAUUGCAGAAUCCCGUGAACCAUCGAGUCUUUGAACGCAAGUUGCGCCCGAAGCCACUAGGCCGAGGGCACGCCUGCCUGGGCGUCACACGUCGUUGCCCCCCCCCAUCUACUCCUUCGGGAUUGCGGGGGGCGGAUGAUGGCCUCCCGUGCGCCUAGCCGCGCGGUUGGCAUAAAUACCAAGUCCUCGGCGACGCACGCCACGACAAUCGGUGGUUGCGAAACCUCGGUUGCCCGUCGUGUGCGUUCGUCGCGCAUCGAGGGCUCGAAAAAAUGCUCGGCUCCGGCUCGGCUUUCAACGCGACCCCAGGUCAGGCGGGGUUACCCGCUGAAUUUAAGCAUAUCAAUAAGCGGAGGA